rnacentral:rRNA from 1 species
GAUGAACGCUAGCUACAGGCUUAACACAUGCAAGUCGAGGGGCAGCAUCAUCAAAGCUUGCUUUGAUGGAUGGCGACCGGCGCACGGGUGAGUAACACGUAUCCAACCUGCCGACAACACUGGGAUAGCCUUUCGAAAGAAAGAUUAAUACCGGAUGGCAUAGUUUUCCCGCAUGGGAUGAUUAUUAAAGAAUUUCGGUUGUCGAUGGGGAUGCGUUCCAUUAGGCAGUUGGCGGGGUAACGGCCCACCAAACCUACGAUGGAUAGGGGUUCUGAGAGGAAGGUCCCCCACAUUGGAACUGAGACACGGUCCAAACUCCUACGGGAGGCAGCAGUGAGGAAUAUUGGUCAAUGGGCGAGAGCCUGAACCAGCCAAGUAGCGUGAAGGAUGAAGGUCCUACGGAUUGUAAACUUCUUUUAUAAGGGAAUAAACCCUCCCACGUGUGGGAGCUUGUAUGUACCUUAUGAAUAAGCAUCGGCUAACUCCGUG